rnacentral:rRNA from 1 species
CAGCCGCCGCGGGAAUACGAAGGGGGCUAGCGUUGCUCGGAAUUACUGGGCGUAAAGGGAGCGUAGGCGGAUCGUUAAGUUGGGGGUGAAAGCCCGGGGCUCAACCUCGGAACUGCCUUCAAUACUGGCGAUCUUGAGUAUGAGAGAGGUGUGUGGAACUCCGAGUGUAGAGGUGAAAUUCGUAGAUAUUCGGAAGAACACCAGUGGCGAAGGCGACACACUGGCUCAUUACUGACGCUGAGGCUCGAAAGCGUGGGGAGCAAACAGGAUUAGAUACCCCAGUAGUCCCUGUCUCUUAUAC